ensembl:snRNA U2 U2 spliceosomal RNA
AUCGCUUCUUGGCCUUUUGGCUAAGAUCAAGUGUAGGAAUAUAGUUUUAUUUUGAAACUUUGAAAUAUUUGCCUUAACUAUUAACUUGUAAGUAACUUUGAAAUAUUUGCCUUAACUAUUAACUUGUAAGUAACUUGUAAGGAUAGAGU